rnacentral:rRNA from 1 species
ACUCCUACGGGAGGCAGCAGUGGGGAAUAUUGCACAAUGGGGGAAACCCUGAUGCAGCGACGCCGCGUGAAGGAAGAAGUAUCUCGGUAUGUAAACUUCUAUCAGCAGGGAAGAUAAUGACGGUACCUGACUAAGAAGCCCCGGCUAA